GGCCCCGUAGCUCAGCUGGAUAGAGCGACGCCCUCCUAAGGCGUAGGUCGCACGUUCGAAUCGUGCCGGGGUCGCCA
rnacentral:tRNA from 2 species